rnacentral:rRNA from 1 species
UGGGGAAUUUUGGACAAUGGGCGAAAGCCUGAUCCAGCAAUGCCGCGUGCAGGAAGAAGGCCUUCGGGUUGUAAACUGCUUUUGUACGGAACGAAAAGGCUCUUUCUAAUAAAGAGGGCCCAUGACGGUACCGUAAGAAUAAGCACCGGCUAACUACGUGCCAGCAGCCGCGGUAAUACGUAGGGUGCGAGCGUUAAUCGGAAUUACUGGGCGUAAAGCGUGCGCAGGCGGUUCUAUAAGACAGAUGUGAAAUCCCCGGGCUCAACCUGGGAACUGCAUUUGUGACUGCAAGGCUAGAGUACGGUAGAGGGGGAUGGAAUUCCGCGUGUAGCAGUGAAAUGCGUAGAUAUGCGGAGGAACACCGAUGGCGAAGGCAAUCCCCUGGACCUGUACUGACGCUCAUGCACGAAAGCGUGGGGAGCAAACAGGAUUAGAUACCCACGUAGUCCCUGAGCGGGCUGGCAAGGCGCAU